ACCUCGUUGUUGCUAAGUCACCGCCACUCCAUCUGAUGCUUGCCUCCGUUCGUUGGUUGCGAGAUGUUGGUCGCUGUGCAAAUGGAGUCACCUGUGAGAGGUCACCAACAUGGAAUACAAGGAAGAAAAUGAUCGUAUGAUGAAGAAGAUUAUUGGUAGAGGACAUGAGUCGAGGAACUUCUACGUUUUCUACCACCCAAUAUCAAAAGUUGUAACUUGCUCUACCAUUACAUCUCUGUGUUAACUUGCUCUUGCAUUACAUCUCCGUUUGAAGUUUAUUGUUGUUUGGGUCAUCCAUCUUUGUCCGUGUUGAAGAAAUUUUGUCUAGAAUUGCGUUCCUUGUCCUUUUUGAAUUGUGAUUCGUGUCCUUGUCCUUUUUGAAUUGUGAUUUGUGUCAAUUUGCUAAAUUUCAUCGUCUUAAUUCUAGUCCUAGAGUCCAUAAAUGAGUCAGUGCUCCUUUUGAGUUAGUUCAUUCCAAUAUUUGGGGUCCUUGUCAAGUUGUCUCAAACAAGUUUUCGUUAUUUUGUUACUUUUGUUGAUGAUUACUCUCGUGUAACUUGGCUAUAUUCAAUGAAAAAUGGUUCGAUGUUGUUGCCUCA